GGUGGGGUGGCCGAGUGGUCAAAGGCAGCAGACUGUAAAUCUGCCGACACCGUCUACGAAGGUUCAAAUCCUUCCCCCACCACCA
rnacentral:tRNA from 1 species